rnacentral:piRNA from 1 species
UUCCAGUGCUUAAAGAUGUUUCUGCUGUUCU